CCGGACUAUGCCAGCCAAGAGUCGAUGUUCAGCAUUUCGUCGAUUUAAUCGAAAAUCAGCGGUUCUGACAAGAAGGCAAAGGAACAAAAGAAGAAAGGUCUUCUGCGCAGACUGUUGCGCUGGAUCAAAUUUAAACGGACGCAUACCAAAACGGAGCGCGGAUGUUCACAUUAGGACGUGUCUGUACGCGCAAACCCGGAUUUUCAUGAUAAUAUUUUGAAACCAAUGGUGAUGGAGAAGGUAACUGACUGAUGCAGCAGCACCGAAGAGUCAGUUUGAGGAGUGUGCUGUAGUCUAUACCUGGCAACAGCUGCGAUUGUUGGGAGGCUGACAAACCUCUUUGAUAGUUUCAAUGGUGGAAUGCGUGUUAACCCAGGGAAGACACUGAGUUGCCCACUCACCCAUAAAAGCAGUCCACAUAUGGAUUAUUGGAUAAACCCGCCUUUCUUCAUUGUCCACCUUCACAGAAUGUGUGGGUAGUUGUCAUUACUGCUGCCAAGUAUGUGUAUAGGACAGUGAAAGAGGCGGAUUUUAAGCACCUUCAAACCCCAAAUCUGACUCAGGAUCCCUUUACAUUUGUACUGUGGUUCGAACAAUAACCCAAUUGUCGGAGAGUCUGUAGCUGCCCCAAAGACUAGCAUCAUCAGUGGCUUUGCUUUUAGAGGUUUGUGUGGAGCUAACUGUGAGGGCACCUGAUGCUGCUUCACCAUAUCCCUCCACAAGUUGUGGCGAGGAACCCACUGAUGCUGUUCCUGAGACUUUCCAUGUUGCAGGUCACAGGUGCUGCAGUACAUGCUGGUGAUAGGGAAGUCUUCCCACACAGCAGCCUAUGUCAGUGGUUCCACUGUCAGACAUGUGCUUCAUGGUGUCAGCUGUCAUGUGCCGCUCUCAGCCACUGCCAUCGUAUAUUUCGAGGAGUACAGUGAUACGGAACAGUCACUCACUUAUCCCUCUGAGAAGAUGGUGGAGACUAUUGGUACUGUUGUAACCCUAAGGAGUCUGUGAUGGCAAAGGUACUUUUUUUUUUGCUAGUGGGGUGGGACUAAGUUCCUUGUACUGCGGCCACUUCUGGCCUGUUGUACCAGCC